AGGGGAGAAACUGGGCAAGAGGCGAGUCCAUAAAGUCCAGGGAUUAAGUGGAAACGCCGAUAAAAUUUUGGGCUCCUGUCUUCUGUCUCCU
rnacentral:lncRNA from 1 species